GGGGUAGUAGCUCAGUUGGUUAGAGCAGGGGACUCAUAAUCCCCGGGUCGUGGGUUCGAUUCCUACCUGCCCCA
rnacentral:tRNA from 1 species